GGGGGUGAAACGGUCUCGACGGGGAGCAAGAGAUCAAAAGGAGCAUGCCGAGGUUGCCAGGAGGCCUCGUAAAACCCCUGGUAAACUCAUAAACGCCGAUGAGGCAGUUGCUUUAGCUGCAUAAGGGCAGCUACACCCUUCUCCAUCCUGCGCCUGUGGGAGGAUAAGGGUGACGGUUAACAGGCUUACUUCUCAUCUUUGCCUUAGAGAUGAGGAGGAAGAGAAAUAAGGCUCGUUCCUUUCUUAUCCCGUCCUCAGGAGAAGAGAGGAACUAAAAGAAAGAUGAGGAACAAGCAUGUAGUUGCCUUUUGGUCUCUGCUUUUCGGACGCGGGUUCGACUCCCGCCACCUCCACUG
rnacentral:tmRNA from 1 species